UACAGUCACAGCACGUUGUGACACCAGUUCCCGUACGAUCACCGAAGUUAAGCAAUGUCGAACUUGGUCAUUACCUAGAUGGGUGACCGUUCGAGAAUACCAGGUUCUGUAAG